UACGUAGGGUGCGAGCGUUGUCCGGAAUUAUUGGGCGUAAAGGGCUCGUAGGCGGUUUGUCGCGUCGGGAGUGAAAACCCAGGGCUUAACCCUGGGCUGGCUUCCGAUACGGGCAGACUAGAGGUAUGCAGGGGAGAACGGAAUUCCUGGUGUAGCGGUGAAAUGCGCAGAUAUCAGGAGGAACACCGAUGGCGAAGGCAGUGGUCUGGGCCGAUACUGACGCUGAGGAGCGAAAGCGUGGGGAGCGAACAGG
rnacentral:rRNA from 1 species